rnacentral:tRNA from 2 species
AAAAUCCGUCGACUUUAUAAGUUGUGAG